AAUGGGCAUAGCUGAUUCCAAUAAAACUUUAUCGACAAGAACAGUCAUGGGCUAGCCCUGGGUAAAUUUGUUCCUGGGAUGAGUGUAUGUAAAGUCUUAAGAAAAGCCUUAAACAUCUGCUUGAGACAGUGGUUUCAAAGACAACAGAUAUUGGCGAUCCAAGUUUUCACAGAUACACAGUAUCAAGUAUCCACAACUAUGGUAUCAUAGUGGUGAUACAGUAUACUGCUGCUGCUGCUAAGUCGCUUCAGUCGUGUCCAGCUCUGUGCGACCCCGUCCCUGGGAUUCUCCAGGCAAGAACACUGGAGUGGUUGCCAUUUCCUUCUCCAAUACAUAAAAGUGAAAAGUGAAAGUGAAGUCACUCAGUCGUGCCCAACCCUUAGCGACCCCAUGGACUGCAGCCUACCAGGCUCCUCUGUCCAUGGGAUUUUCCAGGCAAGAGUCUUGGAAUGCGGUGCCAUUGCCUUCUCUGGUACAGUGUACUACAGUAUCAUAUAAGAUAGUUUCACUACCCUGAACAAUCCUCUGUACUUCAUCUCUGUACUUCAUCAUUUAAUACAUUUUGGUCCCCAAAUACCUGGCAACCACUGACUUUUUAAAUCAUCUCUACAGUUUUGCCUUUUCCAGAAUGUCAUACAGUUUUCCAUCAUGUAUCCUAUUAAGACUGGCUUCUUUCACUUAUCAAUAUGCAUUUGUAAUUUACCCAUAUCUUUUCAUGUUUGGUACCUCAUUUAUUUUUUGUGGAAUAACAUCUCUUGUUGAGAUAUACCACAUUGUUUACCUAUACCUAUUAAUGG
ensembl:lncRNA